rnacentral:rRNA from 1 species
CCUACGGGAGGCAGCAGUGAGGAAUAUUGGUCAAUGGGCGCGAGCCUGAACCAGCCAAGUAGCGUGAAGGAUGACUGCCCUACGGGUUGUAAACUUCUUUUCUCAGGGACGAAGAAAGUGACGGUACCUGAGGCAUAAGCUACGGCUAACUACGUGACAGCAGCCGUGGUAAUCCGGAGGUGGCAAGCGUUAUCCGGUUUUAUUGGGUGUAAAGGGCGUGUAGGCGGGAGGGCAAGUCAGAGGUGAAAACUGAGGGCUCAACCCUGAGCCUGCAGUUGAAACUGGGUGUCUUGAGUGCUGGAGAGGUAAUCGGAAUUCGGGGUGUAGCGGUGAAAUGCGUAGAUAUCGGGAGGAACACCAGUUGCGAAGGCGGAUUGCUGGACAGUAACUGACGCUGAGGCGCGAAAGCGUGGGGAGCAAACAGGAUUAGAUACCCUUGUAGUC